rnacentral:lncRNA from 10 species
GGAACUUGCAUCAAGCAAAUACAAGUUUCAGACUUCAACAGCAGAAGGAUCCAUUUCUAUGUUUAUGCAAAAACAACUGUCUGUGGCACUAUUGGAGACGUCUUGGGAGCUGUUGGAGUACUGUAAGGGAAGCUGGGCUUGGGAGCCACACAGACGCUGGGCUUGGACCCCAGCUGUACCACUCACUGUGACAGACUGACAGGUGACCUAAUUCUCUGCGGCAGACUUCUCAUCCGUAAAAUCAGGAAGAUAACAUGAUUCCAAGGGCGUUCAUGAGGAUUAAAGGAAGUCAUGCUCCUAAUUUACUGCCUGGCACACAGACAGUAAAAUGCUCAAUACAUUUAUGGAAGGAAUGAAGGACUCUGGCAGAAAAACAGGUCAGAUGUGUCUGCUGUGGACAGGUGGCUCUGUCGGUGCCCGGUGAGUGCCCUGGGAGUCUGGCAGUCACCUCCUCCGCAGCCGUGUCCCCAGGCUCACAGGAGCCACCUCAGGUGGGAAGCUCUCUGCCAGCCUUGGAAGACCAGACUCACAGCUCCAAGCCACGUGUGAGCAGGAGUGCUGCAUCCCAGAAAGUGUCUGCCUCAGCAGGCUGGAGAUUGGGAUCCCCUAUGAAAUGGUGGUGUGUGGGCACUAAGAAAGGAGAUUGGCUCUGUUUCAGAGACUUUUAAAAUUCACUGUUACUGGUUUUUAUUAUUACCAAAGUAAUGUAUGCUGAUUAUAGAAAUUUUACCAAAAAAAUCAUUCCAAAUCUCCAACCCAGAAACAAUUGCUAUGAACAUUUUGGUGUGUAUUGGCUAGCUUUGGUUCUGUGUAUAUGCUUUUUUUAUGAAUGAAGUAGAGCUCACAGUGUACGCUUUAUUUCAUGACCUGUUUUCCCCCACUUAAUAAUAUAUUGUGGGAUUCACUGGAUGUCACUAAAUAUUUCUCAACAAUAUUAUUUUCAUGGCUACAUGUUAGUCCAUCAUACAGAUAUGUCAUACUAUUUGUAAUCAAUAUACUAUUGUUGACCAUCUAGGUUGUUUUUAAUUUUCUAGUAUUUUAAGCCACAUUGUAAUGAGUAUUCUUCUCCACAUAUAUUUGUGUGUGUGUGUGUGUGUGUGU